rnacentral:rRNA from 1 species
CUUUGAUCGCUCUAACGUUACUUGGAUAACUGUGGCAAUUCUAGAGCUAAUACAUGCCAACGAACGCUGACCUUCGGGGAUGCGUGCAUUUAUCAGACCCAAAACCCAUGCGGGGUGCUCUCCGGGGCGCCCCGGCCGCUUUGGUGACUCUAGAUAACCUCGAGCCGAUCGCUGGCCCUCGUGGCGGCGACGUCUCAUUCGAAUGUCUGCCCUAUCAACUUUCGAUGGUUACUUUCUGUGCCUACCAUGGUGACCACGGGUAACGGGGAAUCAGGGUUCGAUUCCGGAGAGGGAGCCUGAGAAACGGCUACCACAUCAAAGGGAAAGCAAAACUA